rnacentral:rRNA from 1 species
ACCUGACUGCUAUCGGAUUGGUACUAAGCCAUGCGAGUCAUUGUAGCAAUACAAGGCGGACGGCUCAGUAACACGUAGUCAACCUAACUCGUGGACGUGGAUAACCUCGGGAAACUGAGAAUAAACCACGAUAGAUCAUAGUGCCUGGAAUGGCUUAUGGUCCAAACAGUUUACUGCCAUGGGAUGGGACUGCGGCCUAUCAGCUUGUUGGUGAGGUAAUGGCCCACCAAGGCGAUUACAGGUACGGGCUCUGAAAGGAGAAGCCCGGAGAUGGGUACUGAGACACGGACCCAGGCCCUAUGGGGCGCAGCAGGCGAGAAACCUUAGCAAUGUGCGAAAGCACGACUGGGUCAGUCCGAGUGAUUCCUGAUAAAGGAGUCUUUUGCCUGUCCUAAAAGCACAGGUGAAUAAGGGGUGGGCAAGUCUGGUGUCAGCCGCCGCGGUAAUACCAGCACCUCGAGUGGUCAGGACGUUUAUUGGGCCUAAAGCAUCCGUAGCCGGCUCUGCAAGUCUUCGGUUAAAUCCACCUGCUCAACAGAUGGGCCGCUGGAGAUACUACAGAGCUAGGGAGUGGGAGAGGCAGACGGUAUUCAGUGGGUAGGGGUAAAAUCCUCUGAUCCAUUGAGGACCACCAGUGGCGGAGGCGGUCUGCCAGAACACGUUCGACGGUGAGGGAUGAAAGCUGGGGGAGCAAACCGGAUUAUAUACCCGGGUAGUCCCAGCUGUAAACGAUGCAAACUCGGUGAUGCAUUGGCUUAUGGCCAAUGCAGUGCCGCAGGGAAGCCGUUAAGUUUGCCGCCUGGAAGUACCGACGCAAGUCUGAAACUUA